GUCCAUGGCCAGACCCUCCUGCACAUGCCUGAUCUUGCCUGAUCUUGGAAGCUAGGCGGGGUUGGGCCUGGUUAGUAUUUGGGUGGGAGACUGCCUAGGAAUACCAGGUGCUGCAGGCU
ensembl:rRNA 5S_rRNA 5S ribosomal RNA